GACUCCGCUAAUGUAUUCGAUUCCUGGUCUGGGGUCACGCUGAGCUAAAGAACGCUGCCAGGAACCCACCCGAAAAUUCCGCCUCUUAGUCGAUAGAACCCUUGCAAACGAGGUUUACUGAUAAUAAAUACAUACUUUGUCUUGUACUUUCUCGCAAAAAACGUCCUCUCGAACGUGAUUUUUUAUGCUAAUGUAAUCGAGUUAGUUUUCACACUCCGAAGAACAGUCCUCACGAUUAACCCGACUGGAAACUCCUGCUGUUCGCUAGUCCAACUUAUCUGGAAUAUUUAAUUUAAAAUCUGAAUUAAUUUUCGGGGACUCACAGUAAAAACUUAUUUCUGGAAAAUUUAAGGCUAAGUAAAGUUAUCUCAGUGUGAUUCUAAAGGUAAUAAAAUGCUUUUUGAGUGUUAAAAUGUACGCAAAUGGUAUCUUGUACAGCAAAGCGCCGCUGAAUUUGCAUUUUACACAAACAAUGGUUUCGUUGAACCAUGCAUACAGAUUCCGCCAGGAAUUAGUAUACUUCUUUUUUGGUACAAGAUUCUUGGAGAUAUUUAAAAAAAAGUAUUUUUUGAAAGAUCCUUUAGGUAUUUUACCUUGAAGGAAAAAGCCAAAGGUUAUAUAAUACAGCAGUGUGUCUGCCUUGAAUCUGGUGUUAGAUCGAAUGACAAAGUCGCACAUUUAAUUACCAUCACACGAAACAACAGCCUCGCACGGAAAUUAUUUGACACGAACUCGCUUACAAAAACCUCACGAAAUCUCCCAAACGAAAGAAUAGCACUUAGUGUUGCAUUUUCACAAGCAAAGUUACGAUUAUUGGGGGUAAAAAGCACGAAAUCCCGGCUUGAUGAUUUUGGCCAGCAAGGGAGGUGGCCGAUUAUUGGUAGCGCGACCUCGGCAUAUCUGAUAGUAUUGUUUUACAUGGCGCAAACAACACUGGAUGAAUUCUAUCCUUUUUCGGUCCACAUGAAAUAAGCUAAUAGGGAUCACAUCAUUGUAGUGGUAUAUCCUUGUACCCAGACAUCAUUAGGAAAAAAACAUAGGAGCCACAAGUUGAUGAUUUGAAAAAGAAAAUAGAUUGAAGUGCGCUGUAGGAAAUUUGAGACGAAAUUUAUUGAAUGCGAUGGUCUCGUCUGUACUGUACCGCCAUAAGAAUCCCCAGAAAGCUUUUUCGAAGCAUUCGGAUUCAAGGAAUAAAGAUUGUUUACCUGAAAUAGCGGAGGAGUUUGUUUUAUUAUUCCAGAUAGUAACAAAAUAGAUUUUUUUUUUAAUUUAAGAAUGUCGCCCUUUUGACAGCUGGCGAAAGAAUACGCAUUUCAGAAAUAUAACUAAAUAACUGGAAUAUCUUCGGCCUUAAAAAAAUUGUGGGAAUGGUGUUAGCAGCGCUGAAUGCCCUGGACUAGUGUCCAUGUAUGUCGUACUUUGACGUGAUUUCAGUGGUACCCAGCUAGUGCGUAGAUUUCUUUGACCAAUCAUUAACUGACACGUUUCCAAACACCGUAAAAGCCGAGUAAGGCCAAGUAAAAA